UCCACGGGGUAGCUAUGCCAUAGGGACUAUCAUGUCGAAUACCAUCAUUGUUCAAGGAGUUCUCAAUCUGCUGUCUGGAAACACACUAGACAGCUGGAUUCUGCCACCUCAAGUUGACACUGUGUCUAAGGAUCCCCAGGAAGCAGGCAAACUUGAACUUGCAUCUAAGGAAACCAGGAAAAGGAAGCAGGAUGACAGAAGGAGGAGCUCCGAUACUGCCUCUACCAUCUGAGGAAAAAUCACCUGACAUUUAUUACUUACCAGAGAGCAGGUUGGAAGCAGUCAGCCUCCUUGCUCUUGGUCUGGGGACAAGCUGGAUGCAAUGAAAGCAGCUGCUUUGCCCUCCCGUCGCUGCCUUCUCCUCCGUGGUGAACUGUGGCCAUUCUUAAAUAGUGACCCAAGAAUCCUGGGAAACACACCCCCUCUGCAAACUGAAUCUUCUCUGAGGAGUCUAUAGAUCUAACUAACAAUGGAAUCCACACAUAGAUCUUCCUUCUGUCAGAACAGACCAGUGGUAAGAGUUGGGAAGGACCUUUUUGGAAGGCUAGAGCAUGAGGAGACCUGGGGAGGGCCAUAGGGCCUUUAUUUCUCAUGCUAGCAUCUCCUGGAACAGUUCUAAAGGAA